rnacentral:rRNA from 1 species
UACGGGGGGGGCAAGCGUUGUUCGGAAUUACUGGGCGUAAAGGGCGCGUAGGCGGCCUUCUAAGUCGGACGUGAAAUCCCUCGGCUCAACCGAGGAACUGCGUCCGAUACUGGUUGGCUUGAAUCCGGGAGAGGGACGUGGAAUUCCAGGUGUAGCGGUGAAAUGCGUAGAUAUCUGGAGGAACACCGGUAGCGAAGGCGACGUCCUGGACCGGCAUUGACGCUGAGGCGCGAAAGCCAGGGGAGCAAACGGG